rnacentral:lncRNA from 12 species
GAUAGGCAGAAGGAGAAGCAGAGGGAGAAGCCGGCUCCCCGUGGGGUGCAGAAUUUGAUCCCAGGACCCUGAGAUCCUGACCAGAGCCGAAGGCAGAUGCUCAACCGCUAAACCACCCAGGCGUCCCAGAGAGGAGAGGAUUUUAGGCCAUGAAAGCAUCCAAUUAUCAAUACCUUAAGCCUCAUAAGCAAUGACCCUACUCUGCCAUCAGCACCUCCUGCAGAAAAUGGGGGGAAGGGCUUUUGAGACCUUCAGGGCCAGUGUUUCUUCAAGAGCAUCCACUCACACUUUUCUUAUUAUUUCUAAUUUGUACAUCUGUCAACACUUCCCAAGACAACAAACAAAAUACCAAGGAAUAAAAGAGCAGUGUGCUCCCUGGCGAAUUUAUUUCCAGAUGCCUUUGUGAGAGUCUCGGUUUACCAAAAGGAUCUUCUCCAGCUCCAAAGUCAGUCUCAGGAUGGGCAUUUUGAGCCCACUCCUGGGCUGGGCUAACUUCUUCCUCCACAGGUCCACGUUCAAGGUUAAGACCCAGGAGAGGGUCUAACAAAUUAUCCUGACCCCAGCUAACAAAUUAGCUUAUUUCCGUCUCCCGAGGAUGGCAAGCUGCAGGUACAUCUGUUCCGAAUAUCGGCCUCUUGCCUUUGAUCCUCUGCUCUGUGUCUCUCAGAUGUGCCUUCAGAGCCACCGCCUGGGACUGCCACGCAUUAGACAAGGCUUGUGGCUCCUCUUGAUGCACAUGCCUCUUCUGAAAGGAAAAUUCACACACCAGCCCUCCAAUCUGCUGUUGACCAACCACCUUGACCCAGUGCAGGUGAUAAAAUUCAGGAGGUGAUUGGCCAGAAUGAGCGUGUUUCGGACCGUGGACUUUGUCAUCUUUGCACACACAGAACAGUAGCAACGGUAAAAAGGACCCUGGUAAUGGGUAACUGUAAAACUUUGCAUUCCAACAUACUAAAAAUGCAAUUACCCCACUCCCACCUAUUCAUCCCGGCAAAAGACCAAGGUCUCUAACUCCACCUGGCACAAAACAAAGGGUGCUAAUAGCAGAUGACUUGGGAUUCCACGCUUGACGAGCUGCUGGGCUUUUGUCAGCGUGGAGAAACAUGUUAGAGCUGUGCUACAAAGGAUGGCGUGGUACCAGGAGAACGGAAAUGACAGGGACCGGAACGGUUUUUGAUGCCAACAGUUUAUAUUUGAUCUCCAGAUGUGUUGCAGCUGACAGCUAAUUAGUUUAACUUAGAUCUACACAGAUCUCCCCUUCUUUUUCCACACAUGCUGUGGGCAUGCUAGUGUGAAAAUGUGUCUGCCUGGGGUUGUGCUUUGAUUGAGAAUUCUCUGGAAUGUACACACUCAGAGCCCCUGAAAGCUCUGGAGUCCCGCCUCAUGGAGCAUCUGGUGGGACUUUGCCUCAUCCUUGGCCCCAGAGCAGGUAGUGCAGUGGCAUUCAGCAUCCAAGAGGCCGAUUCCAGCCUGACACGCUAGAGUAAGUUGUUUGGCUUCCUGUUUCUGUGUACGAGGCCACCGUCAGCUGCAAACCUCAGU